CCCGCGCCGGGGUCGCAGGUGACGCGCGAGGGAUCCCAGGGUACCAGUGUGCGGAGUUCCUGUUGCUAAGCUGAAGGUGGCGCUGGGCAGGCACAGGUGUUGUGGUCAUAUCUUCAGCCAACAGGACCAUCCUCCUGAGGGCCACCUCUGGGGACUUCCUACGGGAAGAGAGUGACAGAUUUGGUGCUUCUUUGUGUUUCUGCCGCUUCAGUGGGGCCACUGUGGGAGACAGUGGGUGGACCCUCCAGCAGCCUGUCUGCUGAGCCUGCCUUCUCAAGUCCACUGUGAAAAUCAGGACCGGGUCGUGUACAAGCCUACAGGCCCUGUCUCCCCUCCCCACACCUGCAGGAGUUGAGGGCUGCACCUGCUC
rnacentral:lncRNA from 1 species